CCCUUAGAUGUUCUGGGCUGCACGCGCGCUACACUGAUGCACUCAACGAGUUUACGACCUUGCCCGAUAGGGUUGGGUAAUCUUUUUAAAAUGCAUCGUGAUGGGGAUAGAUUAUUGCAAUUAUUAAUCUUCAACGAGGAAUUCCUAGUAAGCGCGAGUCAUCAGCUCGUGCUGAUUACGUCCCUGCCCUUUGUACACACCGCCCGUCGCUCCUACCGAUUGAGUGCUCAGGUGAAUAAUUCGGACUGCAGCAAUGUUUGGAUCCCGAACGUUGCAGCGGAAAGUUUAGUGAACCUUAUCACUUAGAGGAAGGAGGAGUCGUAACA
rnacentral:rRNA from 1 species